rnacentral:rRNA from 1 species
GACAGAGGGUGCAAACGUUGUUCGGAUUUACUGGGCGUAAAGCGCGUGUAGGCGGCUUUGCAAGUCGGAUGUGAAAGCCCACGGCUCAACCGUGGAAGUGCAUCCGAAACUGCAUGGCUGGAGUCUCGGAGAGGAAGGUGGAAUGCUUGGUGUAGAGGUGAAAUUCGUAGAUAUCAAGCAGAACACCUGCGGCGAAGGCGGCCUUCUGGACGAUGACUGACGCUGAGACGCGAAAAGCGUGGGGGAGCAAAACAGG